rnacentral:rRNA from 1 species
UACGUAGGGUGCGAGCGUUAAUCGGAAUUACUGGGCGUAAAGCGUGCGCAGGCGGUUAUGCAAGCCAGACGUGAAAGCCCCGGGCUUAACCUGGGAAUGGCGUUUGGGACUGCAUGGCUAGAGUACGUCAGAGGGGGGUGGAAUUCCACGUGUAGCAGUGAAAUGCGUAGAGAUGUGGAGGAACACCGAUGGCGAAGGCAGCCCCCUGGGAUGAUACUGACGCUGAGGUGCGAAAGCGUGGGGAGCAAACAGG